AAUCUACUCCAUCCGUCCUAAAAUUCUUGUCUUAGGUUUGUUUAGAAAUGAAUGUAUCAAAAUACUAAAACGUGACNNNAUACAUUCAUAUCUAGACAAAUCUAUGACAUGAAUUUUGGGACUGAGGGAGUAUGUU
rfam:Hordeum vulgare subsp. vulgare, WGS project CAJW01000000 data, contig: morex_contig_136938